GUUUAUAUUGAUAGUGAGAGAUUAACAAGAUUUCUAUAGCAUUAGUAGGAGAAACACUCGUGAUAAUCUAAUUAAUCAUCUUUGUGGCCUUUGAAAAUGAUGGUGGUGAGAGAGCAAAGCGUUUCCAAGUACGGGCCCGCAUGACACUAAGUCUUGUAUUCCCUGAGUCGUGUGUUGCAAGUUUCUCUCGUGGCGUGGCGUGGCGUGGCGUGGCGAUGAUCAGGCCACAGGAACCAUACCAUAAGAAGCUGCAAGAAGCAAGAUUUCAGGUUCAUUGUUUUAAGUAAGAGUACUACAAGGAAAACAGUAGAGGAGGAAUAUAAAUAAAUAGAAAUAUAAGGAAGUUUAAAUAAGAGAACAGAUAGUCUCUCUCUCUCUCUCUCUCUCUCUCUCUCUCUCUCUCUCUCUCUCUCUCUCUCUCUCUCUCUCUCUCUCUCUCUCUCUCUCUCUCUCUCUCUCUCUCUCUCUCUCUGUUUUUGUCAGAAAUCAUAUGCAUAAGUUUCCCAUAAGUAUUUGGAUGAUAAGAGAAAACUAGAUAUCGUAAAGCCAAAACUCAUAUAUUUUUUCUCAAUACUCAGGAUAUUUAUCGAGUGGAGCAAGAGUGAAAUCAGAAAGCAGGGUCUCUCUCUCUCUCUCUCUCUCUCUCUCUCUCUCUCUCUCUCUCUCUCUCUCUCUCUCUCUCUCUCUCUCUCUCUCUCUCUCUCUCUCUCUCUCUCUCUCUCUCUCUCUCUCUCUCUCUCUCUCUCUCUCUCUCUCUCUCUCUUCUGUCUGGUUAGAUUAGGUUUGCCUUGGAUUAUGUCAACAGAAGUAAAGUUUGGUGUCAUUAGGUUAGGUUAGGUUAGGUUAAGUUGGGUUACUGCAAGUUCAGUUAUAUUGUGAUAUGUUAUGUUGGCUUCGGUUAUAGUUUAGUGUAUGUUAUGUUAAGUUGAGUUAGGUCAGGUUUGGUUAGGUUUAAUUGUAUGACUUGGUUAGUUUAGGUUGCUUUAGGUUUACGUUAGCAUAUGUAAGGUUAACCCCUUCAGUACUGGGAUACUUUUUUACCUUGAGUUUUGUGUGUGAUUAGACCAUUUUUACUGCUAUUAGGAAGGAUCUAUGGAGAUCAAAGGAUUAAUGGCCACUAUUUUAAUCCCCCAACAUGAGUUUCUGAAGCUGUAUAAAAUCACAAAAUAAUCACCGGAAGGAAUAUUGAAACGCGUUAUGGUACUGAAGAGGUUAAGUUUGUUUUGGAGGGGUUUAGUCAGGUUAAGUUUGCGUACAAUAUGAGUGUGCUGGAUUAAGUUAGAAUAAGUUAGCUUAGAUUAGUUUCAGUUUAGAUAUAUUAGGUUAGUUUUGGUUGAGUUGACCCUUUCAGAACUGAGACACAUUUUCUACCUUGAGGUUUGGGUACGAUUAGACGAUUUUGUUUACAUCAGGAAAGGUCUAUGGAGGUCAGAAGAUUAAUGGCCGGAGUUUUCACUAUUUUGAUCCCCACAUAAGUUUAUGAAGCUGUAUAAAACCACCAAAUAGUAAGUAGAAUAAAUAUGAAAACGUCACAACACUGAAGAGGUUCAAUUAGGCUGAGUGAGGCUCCCCGCCGGCGCCACCAGCAGGAGAAACUUGUAACAGACUCAUCGGGACGGCCUGUGUGCUGCGUGUCAAUAAACUAACUAAAUGUGUGUGUGAGUGUGUGGGGGUGUGGGUGUGUGUAAAACAGUGGACUGCACCACCACAAAGAUCAAACUAUUUUAUCAUGUUUGCAAGAUUCAUUGUGAUAUAACUAACAUUCACUUUUUACUUUCUUGUGUGUGUGUGUGUGUGUGUGUGUGUGUGUGUGUGUGUGUGUGUGUGUGUGUGUGUGUGUGUGUGUGUGUGUGUGUGUGUGUGUGUGUGUGUGUGUGUGUGUGUGUGUUGUAACAGCUUCAUCGAGUCUCCCUAUUCAUGUAAGUCCCUGUGUUACGUGUAUUCACCGCUGUUCUUCACCAAAACGUGGCGGAAUAUAAAAAAAAUGUAUAAAACCAUCUUUAACAAAUGAACUCCAUCAUUCUGGCGUCCAAACAACUGGAAACAAAAAGCUAGGAGGAGGAAUUUCUGUCACAUUCGUUAGAGGAGUGAAGUUGAGGCAGAGAGGUGGCAGAUGAGGGAAAGCGAGACAGACGGAAGUUCCACAGCUUGAGAUUGUCGUGUUAAUUUCUCCUCCGUCUCAUUCAGUGUCCACAGGUGUUGUCACAGUGUGCUAGGCUCAGCUCAACACCCCAGGCUGAUGAUGCUAUGUACUACUGCUGCUGCUGUUGCUUAGUGUCUUCAGUUUCCUCCCAACACUUCAUUUGUUUCCUCAGCAAGACGUGUCAUCAUAAUGUUCAAAUGUACUGACCAAAUAUAUAUAUAUGACACCCUCCCCUCCCCCAACCUUUGAUAGAGGACCAGCAGGAGUACUUACUACAUUAUGUGACUCGUGUGUGUGUCUGUAUGUGCGUGUAUGUCAUGUAUGUGUCACUCGUGUUUUGUGUGUCCUAAGCAUAAUAAAAAGAUCAUGUUUAUUUUUAAUGUGUAGCUACAGCAGUUAAGUGUUCCAGAGAAUAACCAAAUAAUUUUAAAUGUAACGCUGACUUUACUAUUUUUUAACCUGAGACACGACACCAGCUGUGGUUCCUUGAAGCGUCGAGCGGCUAACCACUAACUACACCCAACCCCUCCCCCGGCACGCCAUCACACCACCAUACCACACCCACUCCAUCACCCUCAAUACCCAACUUUCGCCGCUCUCAUGGCCUCCUGCGGUCCAGUAGACAAUGCACACUUUGCUACACAAACAGUAUGUGUCGUUGACCCAAACACUUGCUGUCACUUCACGCCACACUCAUCUUGGUGUUGGUUAUGAUGUCAGGCUUCGCACCGCCACCCAGGAAGCACACACAUAUGCUCAUCGGUGUGUGCUGCUCCCAGACCCAGUGUGCCGCCGCUGCUACUUUCCUGGUAGACUGAUACUUGAAAUGACAUGCUAUUGUAGUACAUUCAGUAUGCUAAUGUAGUGGAGACUGUAGGCACGUAACUGUAGAGUAGAUCAGUACAAGACGAAAGGACUGGUGAAGUGAAAUGUAUAGGUUGAAACAUCUCGAUAAAAAAAAAAAAAUUGUGUAAUAUGGCCAAUAAAGUCAAAUAAGUAUUAUAAAGUGUAAGUUGUAAGGUAAAGCGAUGUAUGAUAGUAUGAUGUCGUGUAUAAAGGUGGUCAUUUGUUCAUAAGUCAUUGACAAAACAAUAAAAUUGUUGGCGGAACAUUUUACUGUGGAAGGAACAGUAUGUAGAUGAAAAAUUACCACACA